CUCACUCAGGGCUGAGUCUCUGGGGAAGGCAGAGCUGUGCUCGAGGAGAAGAUGAUUCUGUGGGGUCUUCUCUUCUGCCUGGCGACAGCGCCCCUGGGUGCUGUGUCUGCUCUGACCCUGCAGGAGUCGGGCCCAGGCCUGGUGAAGCCCUCCCAGACCCUGUCCCUCACCUGCUCUGUCUCUGGGGGCUCUGUCACCAGCAGUAACUACUGGCAUUGGAUCCGCCAGCGCCCUGGGAAAGGGUUGGAGUGGAUGGGACGCUGGUCAGGUGGUACCAGCUACAACCCAGCAUUCCAGGGGCGCAUCUCCAUCACGGCUGACCCCUCCAAGAACCAGUUCUCCCUGCAGCUGAGCUCUGUGACCUCCGAGGACACAGCCCUGUAUUACUGUGCUAGAGACACAGUGAGGGGAAGUCAGGCCCUUUCUGAGAUUUACGAAUUCUCUGGUGUUCCACAGUCCCAGUUCUAA